rnacentral:tRNA from 1 species
GCCGAUGUAGCUCAGGCGGUAGAGCAACGCAUUCGUAAUGCGUAGGUCGUGGGUUCGAUUCCCACCUUCGGCUCCA